AUAUAUAUAUAUAUAUCCAUAUAAAUAAUGUGUCUCUGAAAGGUACAGAUCUGGCAUCACGAUCAUGGUGAUAGACAGAUGGUGGAACAGUCCUGAUAUCACGAUCAUGG